rnacentral:rRNA from 1 species
AAUGAACGCUGGCGGCAGGCCUAACACAUGCAAGUCGAGCGGAGCGGCGGACGGGUGAGUAAUGCCUAGGAAUCUGCCCGGUAGUGGGGGAUAACGUCCGGUAACGGGCGCUAAUAUCGCAUACUAUCAGAUGAGCCUCGGUCGGAUUAGCUGGUUGGUGGGGUAAAGGCCUACCAAGGCGACGAUCCGUAACUGGUCUGAGGGGAUGAUCAGUCACACUGGAACUGAGACACGGUCCAGACUCCUACGGUAGUCAGCAGUGGGGAAUAGUGGACAAUGGUCGAAAGCCGGAUGCAGCCAGGCCGCGUGUGUGAAGAAGGCCUUCGGGUUGUAAAGCACUUUAAGUUGGGAGGCGUUACCAACAGAAUAAGCACCGGCUAACUUCGUGCCAGCAGCCGCGGUAAUUC